GUCGGAUUACUGGGCUUAAAGAGUUCGUAGGUGGUUGAAAAAGUUGGUGGUGAAAUCCCAGAGCUUAACUCUGGAACUGCCAUCAAAACUUUUCAGCUAGAGUUUGAUAGAGGAAAGCAGAAUUUCUAGUGUAGAGGUGAAAUUCGUAGAUAUUAGAAAGAGUACCAAAUGCGAAGGCAGCUUUCUGGAUCAUUACUGACACUGAGGAACGAAAGCAUGGGUAGCGAAGAGGAUUAGAUACCCUCGUAGUCCAUGCCGUAAACGAUGUGUGUUAGACGUUGGAAAUUUAUUUUCAGUGUCGCAGCGAAAGCAAUAAACACACCGCCUGGGGAGUACGACCGCAAGGUUAAAACUCAAAUGAAUUGACGGGGACCCGCACAAGUAGUGGAGCAUGUGGUUUAAUU
rnacentral:rRNA from 1 species